rnacentral:rRNA from 1 species
CUAAUACCGCAUACGUCCUGAGGGAGAAAGCGGGGGAGUCGCAAGACCUCGCGCGAUUGGAGUGGCCGAUGUCAGAUUAGCUAGUUGGUGGGGUAAAGGCCUACCAAGGCAACGAUCUGUAGCUGGUCUGAGAGGAUGAUCAGCCACACUGGGACUGAGACACGGCCCAGACUCCUACGGGAGGCAGCAGUGGGGAAUUUUGGACAAUGGGGGCAACCCUGAUCCAGCCAUUCCGCGUGAGUGAAGAAGGCCUUCGGGUUGUAAAGCUCUUUCAGCAGGAACGAAACGGCGAGUACUAAUACUGCUCGCUAAUGACGGUACCUGAAGAAGAAGCACCGGCUAACUACGUG